rnacentral:rRNA from 1 species
CCUACGGGUGGCUGCAGUGGGGAAUAUUGCGCAAUGGGCGGAAGCCUGACGCAGCCAUGCCGCGUGAAUGAAGAAGGCCUUCGGGUUGUAAAGUUCUUUCGGUAGUGAGGAAGGGUGAUGUGUUAAUAGUACAUCAAGUUGACGUUAAAUACAGAAGAAGCACCGGCUAACUCCGUGCCAGCAGCCGCGGUAAUACGGAGGGUGCGAGCGUUAAUCGGAAUAACUGGGCGUAAAGGGCACGCAGGCGGUUAUUUAAGUGAGGUGUGAAAGCCCCGGGCUUAACCUGGGAAUUGCAUUUCAUACUGGGUCGCUAGAGUACUUUAGGGAGGGGUAGAAUUCCACGUGUAGCGGUGAAAUGCGUAGAGAUGUGGAGGAAUACCGAAGGCGAAGGCAGCCCCUUGGGAAUGUACUGACGCUCAUGUGCGAAAGCGUGGGGAGCAAACAGGAUUAGAUACCCUUGUAGUC